rnacentral:rRNA from 1 species
GGGAGGCAGCAGUGGGGAAUCUUGCACAAUGGAGGAAACUCUGAUGCAGCGAUGCCGCGUGAGUGAAGAAGGCCCUUGGGUUGUAAAGCUCUUUCGUCGGGGAAGAAAAUGACUGUACCCGAAUAAGAAGGUCCGGCUAACUUCGUGCCAGCAGCCGCGGUAAU